GAGCGAACGUUAGCGGCAGGCCUAACACAUGCAAGUCGCACGAGAAUCCGGCUUCGGCCGGUAGUAAAGUGGCGGACGGGUGAGUAACACGUGGAUAAUCUGCCCUUCGGCGGGGGACAACAGUCCGAAAGGAUUGCUAAUACCGCAUACGUCAGCGAGGUCUUCGGACCUUGUUGGGAAAGAUGGCCUCUUCAUGAAAGCUAUCACCGAAGGAUGAGUCCGCGGCCCAUCAGCUAGUUGGCGGGGUAAUGGCCCACCAAGGCUAAGACGGGUAGCUGGUCUGAGAGGAUGAUCAGCCACACUGGAACUGAGACACGGUCCAGACUCCUACGGGAGGCAGCAGUGGGGAAUAUUGGGCAAUGGGCGCAAGCCUGACCCAGCCAUGCCGCGUGAGUGAUGAAGGCCUUCGGGUCGUAAAGCUCUGUGGGGAGGGAAGAAACACCCUGUCGAUAAUACCGACGGGGCUUGACGGUACCUCCUUAGCAAGCACCGGCUAACUCCGUGCCAGCAGCCGCGGUAA
rnacentral:rRNA from 1 species